rnacentral:rRNA from 1 species
AUUGAACGCUGGCGGCAGGCCUAACACAUGCAAGUCGAACGGUAGCACAGAGAGCUUGCUCUCGGGUGGCGAGUGGCGGACGGGUGAGUAAUGUCUGGGAAACUGCCCGAUGGAGGGGGAUAACUACUGGAAACGGUAGCUAAUACCGCAUAACGUCGCAAGACCAAAGUGGGGGACCUUCGGGCCUCACACCAUCGGAUGUGCCCAGAUGGGAUUAGCUAGUAGGUGGGGUAAUGGCUCACCUAGGCGACGAUCCCUAGCUGGUCUGAGAGGAUGACCAGCCACACCGGAACUGAGACACGGUCCAGACCCCUACGGGAGGCAGCAGUGGGGAAUAUUGCACAAUGGGCGCAAGCCUGAUGCAGCCAUGCCGCGUGUAUGAAGAAGGCCUUCGGGUUGUAAAGUACUUUCAGCGGGGAGGAAGGCGGUGAAGUUAAUAACUUCACCGAUUGACGUUACCCGCAGAAGAAGCACCGGCUAACUCCGUGCCAGCAGCCGCCGCCG